AAUGCAAAUGUAAAACAAUCAACAUUAUAGUUCAUAAAACUGCUAACAGCCAAGUAUAAAUAACUGACAAGUGCCUAAGUUAUAUAUUUAAAGAUCUAAUUAGAAUUGAGAGUUUAUGUUUUGAAUUGAAAAGAUAAUGGAGAAAACAAUAUUUGGCUCCUCAUUGGUGGUGGAAUAUUGUUCCAACACUUGGACGCAGCAUAACGAAAACUUCCUCUAAAGGCUGCUGAACUGUGUUGAGGUAUUGUGAUUUGCAGAGCAGCUUUUCGAGUAUCACAGGACCUACGACUUGAAAACCAGGAAAGCUUUUUAUAUAAGAUGCAAUGUUUAUUUAGGAAUGGUGUCACAUGGGCCCUUAAUGGAAUGUUAAAGCAAAAACGAGCACAUGCAUUUUGAACACGCUGGAUAAGAUUCUGGUUUUUUUUUAACAAGCGGGG